AGAGUUUGAUCAUGGCUCAGGAUGAACGCUAGCGGCAGGCUUAACACAUGCAAGUCGAACGGUAACAUGAGUGCUUGCACUUGAUGACGAGUGGCGCACGGGUGCGUAACGCGUAUGCAACUUACCCUAAACUGGAGAAUAGCCUUUAGAAAUGAAGAAUAAUACUCCAUAGUAUUCCGAGAAGGCAUCUUCUUGGUCUUAAAGCUUUGGCGGUUUAGGAUAGGCAUGCGUUCUAUUAGUUAGUUGGUGAGGUAACGGCUUACCAAGACCACGAUAGAUAGGGGGCCUGAGAGGGUUGUCCCCCACACUGGUACUGAGACACGGACCAGACUCCUACGGGAGGCAGCAGUGAGGAAUAUUGCACAAUGGACGAAAGUCUGAUGCAGCCAUGCCGCGUGCAGGAUGAAUGCCCUAUGGGUUGUAAACUGCUUUUAUAUAGGAAGAAACUUUUCUACGUGUAGAGAACUGACGGUACUAUAAGAAUAAGGACCGGCUAACUCCGUGCCAGCAGCCGCGGUAAUACGGAGGGUCCAAGCGUUAUCCGGAUUUAUUGGGUUUAAAGGGUCCGUAGGCGGGAGAUUAAGUCAGUGGUGAAAGCCUACAGCUCAACUGUAGAACUGCCAUUGAAACUGAUCUUCUUGAAUUUAGAUGAAGUGGGCGGAAUAUAUCAUGUAGCGGUGAAAUGCAUAGAUAUGAUAUAGAACACCGAUUGCGAAGGCAGCUCACUAAACUAAUAUUGACGCUGAGGGACGAAAGUGUGGGGAGCGAACAGGAUUAGAUACCCUGGUAGUCCACACCGUAAACGAUGAUUACUCGAUGCUAGCGAUAUACAGUUAGUGUCUAAGCGAAAGCGAUAAGUAAUCCACCUGGGGAGUACGGUCGCAAGAUUGAAACUCAAAGGAAUUGACGGGGGCCCGCACAAGCGGUGGAGCAUGUGGUUUAAUUCGAUGAUACGCGAGGAACCUUACCUGGGCUUAAAUGUAUUUUGACAGGCUGAGAAAUCAGUUUUUCUUCGGACAAUUUACAAGGUGCUGCAUGGUUGUCGUCAGCUCGUGCUGUGAGGUGUCGGGUUAAGUCCCAUAACGAGCGCAACCCCUAUCCUUAGUUGCCAGCGAGUAAUGUCGGGGACUCUAGGGAAACUGCCGGUGCAAACCGUGAGGAAGGUGGGGAUGACGUCAAAUCAUCACGGCCCUUACGUCCAGGGCUACACACGUGCUACAACGGCGCAUACAAAGGGCGGCUACAUGGUGACAUGAUGCUAAUCUCUAAAGUGCGUCUCAGUUCGGAUCGAAGUCUGCAACUCGACUUCGUGAAGCUGGAAUCGCUAGUAAUCGCGUAUCAGCAAUGACGCGGUGAAUACGUUCCCGGGCCUUGUACACACCGCCCGUCAAGCCAUGGAAGUUGGGAGUGCCUGAAGUCGGUGACCGCAAGGAGCUGCCUAAGGUAAAACUAGUAACUAGGGCUAAGUCGUAACAAGGUAACCGUA
rnacentral:rRNA from 1 species